UCGGGGCGUAGCGCAGUCUGGUAGCGCAUCUGCUUUGGGAGCAGAGGGUCGGGGGUUCGAAUCCCUCCGCCCCGACCAU
rnacentral:tRNA from 1 species